AGCGAACGCUGGCGGCAGGCUUAACACAUGCAAGUCGAGCGGGCACUUCGGUGUCAGCGGCAGACGGGUGAGUAACACGUGGGAACGUACCCUUCGGUUCGGAAUAACGCUGGGAAACUAGCGCUAAUACCGGAUACGCCCUUUUGGGGAAAGGUUUACUGCCGAAGGGUCGGCCCGCGUCUGAUUAGCUAGUUGGUGGGGUAAUGGCCUACCAAGGCGACGAUCAGUAUCUGGUAUGAGAGGAUGAUCAGCAACACUGGGACUGAGACACGGCCCAGACUCCUACGGGAGGCAGCAGUGGGGAAUAUAGGACAAUGGGCGCAAGCCUGAUCCAGCCAUGCCGCGUGAGUGAUGAAGGCCUUAGGGUUGUAAAGCUCUUUUGUCCGGGACGACAAUGACGGUACCGGAAGAAUAAGCCCCGGCUAACUUCGU
rnacentral:rRNA from 1 species